rnacentral:rRNA from 1 species
AUGAACGCUGGCGGCGUGCCUAAUACAUGCAAGUCGAGCGAACGGACGAGAAGCUUGCUUCUCUGAUGUUAGCGGCGGACGGGUGAGUAACACGUGGAUAACCUACCUAUAAGACUGGGAUAACUUCGGGAAACCGGAGCUAAUACCGGAUAAUAUUUUGAACCGCAUGGUUCAAAAGUGAAAGACGGUCUUGCUGUCACUUAUAGAUGGAUCCGCGCUGCAUUAGCUAGUUGGUAAGGUAACGGCUUACCAAGGCAACGAUGCAUAGCCGACCUGAGAGGGUGAGCGGCCACACUGGAACUGAGACACGGUCCAGACUCCUACGGGAGGCAGCAGUAGGGAAUCUUCCGCAAUGGGCGAAAGCCUGACGGAGCAACGCCGCGUGAGUGAUGAAGGUCUUCGGAUCGUAAAACUCUGUUAUUAGGGAAGAACAUAUGUGUAAGUAACUGUGCACAUCUUGACGGUACCUAAUCAGAAAGCCACGGCUAACUACGU